CUGGAUCUGAGGGACGACAGAUCUGCACUGUGCGGUGUGUGGGGGUGAACGUGAGGGAUGAGGACCUCGUGGGUCAUAAAUGUGAGCCCACCCGUUCAAGGCAUCAGCUCAGGUGGGGCUAACUUGCAUCUGAACACUGCCUGGAGGAUGCUGGGUAAGUGUCUCAACCUCUGUGACUAUGAAAAGCGAGCCUGGUUCCCUGCGACAAGGGGUUCUGAGGAGCGCGCUGGUGAGGGGAAAGGGCCAGGCAGCUCAUCAGACUGGAGUCAAGGCUGCCUCGUGACUCUGCAGCAGCAAAAGCCACUACUGGACUCUAGAGCCAGUCAGGACUCUGACCAGGGCUGUGCAUAGACUGUCCAGGAGUACUUGUCCUGCCGUGACUGGCUGCAGCCCAGGCACAGCCACACAGGACCAGGUGUAGGGAGGAACAUAGGCUCCCUUGCCCUCUCAGGGGUCCCCACGCCAGCACCUCCACCUCAGCAACCCCAAACUCCAAGGCUCCAUCAUUUGAGAAUAUUUUUGGAUCUUCUUUAUGUAGCCAUCACCACUGGUGACAGAGUUCAUCUUCCAGCCCUCUCCAUCACCACGCAGUGUGAGGCAGGAAGCCCCACUCCUCUAGUCCUACCUAGGUCUUUCUGGUGACCAGGCCCUAUCCUAGAACUACUCCCAAGGGCCCCCAGGCUCCUGAUGACCUCAUCCACACGCAGAAGUUCCAAAUAUAAGCCAGAGGCCCAGCCGCAGAGCUGAAGUGACCGGCGCACACACUCCAAGACAAGAGAAACCGUCUGAUAACCAGAGUCACAGCUACCGCCUGUGACCAUGAGGACAUCAAGAAAUACGCAGGAGCAGGAAACAGAUCACAGUCCCUGAUGAGGAUAUAAGCUCUCAGCUACUCCUCCAGCACCAUGCCUGCUGCCAUGCUCCCUGUCAUUGUCGCUGGGUCCUAACAGCUCCCUCGGAGGAGGAGGUGAGAAGGCACAGAGUCAACUGGCACAGACACUGGGAGUCAGGUAAAAGGCAAAGAGCAGACUCAUUUAUUCGGCAAUGGGGAGAGCCUUAUAUACCCUCCCCCCAGCACCCAGGCUGCAUCCUGAUCUGGUGAUGUUGCAUGAUCAACCCUCACUGGCUGUGCACAAUCAGGACCUCUGACAGUGCCUGUUGCUAGGCCCUCAGGCAGACUCCAGGUUGGCUCAUCUCUCAGCCUCAUAGGCCUUAUCUUCCUAUAUAUCUAUAUAUCCACCCUUCAUUUAUUAUGUGGGCGCUCAGCAGGAACCAGAGUUCUUUUCUCAGGCCUUGUUGACCCUGCCUCAGGACAGCUCAGCAACUGGACUGUGCCUGUCUUAGGUUGGCUUGCCAAACAAGCUCUUACCCAUCAUUGACUACCAGCCCUCAAAGAGCAUCCCUUCCUGGAGAGCUGCCAGGGUUGGGGGACUAGGCAGUAGCCUUUUGAAUUUCAGAUAACCAGGCAUGCAUAACCUCCUGUGCAGGACUGUGAGAAGGAUGCCUAAGAGCCAUUAAUACUUGAAGAGUCACCUUAGUUGCUGCACACUGCUGUUGAAUAUGCUGCAGGAGACAUUUAAAGAGAAUAAGGAUUAACAAUACCACCCCACCAAUUAAGGCAUAUGUGAGCAUCCAAGAGGGAUCAAAUAGCCUUUUUAUGUCAAACCUUUUCAAAAAAUGAAGAGUCAAAGACCAUAACCUCUCCCCUUGUGUGACUUAAUUUUCAUGUGUUAGCUGUAAUGAAUAAUAUAGAAACUUAGUUGACCAUGGGCCCCUUAAUAUAUUUAGCCAGCUCCUGGCAUGCUAAACUAACAUUCCUCACCUCAAAAGGUGUCAUACAAAAUGAGGAAAAGUGAGGGUCACAAUUGAGUCUCACCAAUGUAUUUAAAGUGCCAGUUUCUUCUAAUAAAUCAAAUUGUUUAGAGGGGCAAUGAGAGCAAGAAAGGGGAGUACACACAUUACCCA